rnacentral:rRNA from 1 species
GACGAGCGCUGGCGGCGAGCCUAAUACAUGCAAGUCGAGCGCAGGAAACCGUCUGAACCCUUCGGGGGGUCGACGGCGGAAUGAGCGGCGGACGGGUGAGUAACACGUAAAGAACCUGCCCAUAGGUCUGGGAUAACCACGAGAAAUCGGGGCUAAUACCGGAUGUGUCAUCGGACCGCAUGGUCCGCUGAUGAAAGGCGCUUCGGCGUCGCCCAUGGAUGGCUUUGCGGUGCAUUAGCUAGUUGGUGGGGUAAUGGCCCACCAAGGCGACGAUGCAUAGCCGACCUGAGAGGGUGAUCGACCACACUGGGACUGAGACACGGCCCAGACUCCUACGGGAGGCAGCAGUAGGGAAUCUUCCACAAUGGACGAAAGUCUGAUGGAGCAACGCCGCGUGAACGAUGAAGGCUUUCGGGUCGUAAAGUUCUGUUGUAAGGGAAGAACAAGUGCCGCAGGCAAUGGCGGCACCUUGACGGUACCUUGCGAGAAAGCCACGGCUAACUACGUGCCAGCCGCCGCGGUAAAAC